rnacentral:misc_RNA from 1 species
GAUGAAGAACGCAGCGAAGUGCGAUACGUAGUGUGAAUUGCAGAAUUCAGUGAAUCAUCGAAUCUUUGAACGCACAUUGCACCUCUCGGUAUUCCGGGAGGUAUGCCUGUUCGAGCGUCAUUUGUACCCUCAAGCUCUGCUUGGUGUUGGGUGUUUGUUCCGCCUCUGUGUGUGAACUCGCCUCAAAACAAUUGGCAGCCGGCGUACUUGUUUCGGAGCGCAGCACAUUUUGCGAUCCAGAUCAACGUACAGCGGCAUCCAAGAAGCCUUAUUUAACGCUCUUGACCUCGGAUCAGGUAGGGAUACCCGCUGAACUUAAGCAUAUCAAUAAGCGGAGGA